AAAAAAACCAACCUCCACUCCAAACGUUUAACUAAAGAGAGAGGUAUGAGCCAGGGUCAAGACAUCUAGAAAGGGUGAGGAGAGGCUCUACCAGCAGGAAGCUCUUCCCACCCCAGUGUCUGAAGGGCAGCUGACAAGAGAAUCUCACUGGAUUUAUGGAGGAGAGACUACCUAAGGGGAGCAGUAAAAAUGAGAGUGCAGCUCUGCCCAGAUGGCCAUGUGAAGUUGGAGUGGGCCAGGAUUCCCCCAGUUGGACUCUCACAUACCUGUGGACCUCAAGUGCUCCUUCAUAUGUGUUUUCAAUGAACUUCAUCCAAACCACAUCAAAUGGCUGUGUAUAACACUAAGGAAAUGUCAUAUUGUCUCCUAGUCCUCUACCAUGCAGGUGUUGUUGGAGGCUGGAGAGCUACUUGAGUCUCACUGAAGAAUUUUCACUAUAAAUGAAGGCACUGCAGUCUCAGACUAUGACAGCAAUUGAUACUGUCUGUUUCUACCAUAUGGAGACAUUAAGAUGUUUUACCAAGUAUCAUGGUAUUUUAG
rnacentral:lncRNA from 1 species